UAUGAUCCAGAGUACCACGGGACACGUGAAACCCUGUGGGAAGCAGGAGGGACCACCCUCCAAGGCUAAAUACUACCUAGUGACCGAUGGCGUAUAGUACCGUGAGGGAAAGGUGAAAAGAACCCCGGGAGGGGAGUGAAAUAGAACCUGAAACCCUGCACUUACAAGCUGUGGAAGCACAUUUCUUGUGUGACCGCGUACUUUUUGUAGAACGGG
rnacentral:rRNA from 1 species